rnacentral:lncRNA from 1 species
AUGAGUUUAAAUCCUUAUAAAGUACAGUUUUCUGACUGUGGAGGUCAUGUUUUCUUGCCAACAAUGGGUGGAAGAAGAUGAAAAAAAAAAAAUACAAAAGCUAGAUGUAUAUUGCAAGAUGAGGGGGGUAGUUUUUUAUAAGAGGGAACAAAAAAGACAAGGGGCGAGGCCCAAAAUUUAUAUAUAGUAUUGUUAUUUUUAAAAUUUUAUAGAUUCCAAAGAAGUCAUACAAAUUAAGAUUUUAGAAUUAAGAAUUCAUGUUAUUUUCAAUCAACUAUGUAAAAUUGCUAAAAUUUUGUUAUUGUUAUAAACCAGACAUUUUAGGCACAACCCAUUACCUAUGGGCUUUAGGGUUUAUAGUUUUGUUUAUCUAUAUAUUGUAAUGAAACAAUGACAAUUGUGUCGAUACCUAUUUUUCUCUUUGGUUUUUAUCACGUUAUCAGCACCGUUUGCUCUUCACCAGGAACAGCCAUCGAUCUUCUUCACAGGAAUUCAGAUCAUUUAUUCACCAAUCCGGAUAAAAUGUCGAACUUAUCAAAACUUGAAUUCACCGCACUUGACAUCUCGGGUAACAACUACCUCCCUUGGACUCUUGAUGCUAAAAUUCAUUUGACGGCAAAUAACUUGGGGGAGACAAUUAAUGUUGAUAAUCAAACCUCACCUCAAAAUAAAGCGAAAGCUAUGAUAUUCCUUCGUCAUCAUCUUCACGAAGAUCUAAAGCGGGAAUAUCUAACUGUUGAGGACCCUCUUGAAUUAUGGACAAAUAUCAAAGAACGUUUUGACCACCAGAAGUUGGUCUUACUCCCCAAAGCCCGCUAU